UGCUUUGGUGCCUUCGGGAACUCUGAGACAGGUGCUGCAUGGCUGUCGUCAGCUCGUGUUGUGAAAUGUUGGGUUAAGUCCCGCAACGAGCGCAACCCUUAUCCUUUGUUGCCAGCGGUUAGGCCGGGAACUCAAAGGAGACUGCCAGUGAUAAACUGGAGGAAGGUGGGGAUGACGUCAAGUCAUCAUGGCCCUUACGAGUAGGGCUACACACGUGCUACAAUGGCAUAUACAAAGAGAAGCGACCUCGCGAGAGCAAGCGGACCUCAUAAAGUAUGUCGUAGUCCGGAUUGGAGUCUGCAACUCGACUCCAUGAAGUCGGAAUCGCUAGUAAUCGUGGAUCAGAAUGCCACGGUGAAUACGUUCCCGGGCCUUGUACACACCGCCCGUCACACCAUGGGAGUGGGUUGCAAAAGAAGUAGGUAGCUUAACCUUCGGGAGGGCGCUUACCACUUUGUGAUUCAUGACUGGGGUGAAGUCGUAACAAGGUAACCG
rnacentral:rRNA from 1 species